rnacentral:miRNA from 1 species
AAUACAGGAAGGCCAGUUUAAAUUUGAAUUGCAGAGAAACAAUUUUUAGUGUAAGUAUGCCUCAUGCAAUAUUUGGGACUUACUUAUACUAAAAAAUUCCUUGUUGUUUCUCUGAAAUUCAAACUUAACUGGCCUGCCUG